rnacentral:lncRNA from 1 species
CCAACACCACCCCUCGCCACCCCAACGUCCACCCUCGCCAAGAGCCGCCACCAGUGCCUCCGUCGCCCGUGCGCCAACCGCCGCCGCCGCCACCGCUUUGACCACCGCCGGCCGCCCCCUCCCAUUCUCCAAGCCCCAAGGUAAUGGGCAAAAUGGGAUCUCCACCCCUUCCUCCGCCGCCCCCGGCCCCAUCUUCUCUCUCUCCCUCUCCAAGUUCUUGGAGAAGAAGAAGAUAAGGAUGCCCAGAUUUCCGAUCCGACCCCCUCUUCCUUAUUAUUUAUAGAUUAGUCCUUCCACCACUCUCAUAAACCUAUUCGCAGAUAAGCACCUCCACCUCCAAAAGUAUUCACAAAUAGGUCCCUGGUUUAUCGCAAAUCAGUCCUAAACCUCCUUUUUAAGCCCUUAAACCAUGUUUAACUCGUCAUUUCAUGCGCCAAACUUCCUCCAUUUAACCCCAAAUUUUACCACGUCAUCCUCCAGAAUACUUCCGCCG